UACGUAGGGUGCAAGCGUUGUCCGGAAUUAUUGGGCGUAAAGAGCUCGUAGGCGGUCUGUCGCGUCUGCUGUGAAAACUCGGGGCUUAACUUCGGGCUUGCAGUGGGUACGGGCAGACUGGAGUGCGGUAGGGGAGACUGGAAUUCCUGGUGUAGCGGUGAAAUGCGCAGAUAUCAGGAGGAACACCGGUGGCGAAGGCGGGUCUCUGGGCCGUAACUGACGCUGAGGAGCGAGAGCGUGGGGAGCGAACAGG
rnacentral:rRNA from 1 species